GUAAUCUAUUCCUGCGAUAAGAAAAAAAAAACAUGAACCCAAAAUCAUAACAUCUGACCAAUUUACCAUGAAAAUGAGGUCAGGAUCAGACAAAACCCUGCCAGACACCUGUACACCUUACGAUACUUCCAUACACCAAAUAUUCUUGAUCUGUUGCUUAUAGUAUCUGAGAGAUAUAACAAACCAUCAAUCCUAUACAUUGACCACAAAAAAGAGGUCUAACUUGAAUGAACC
rnacentral:lncRNA from 1 species